rnacentral:rRNA from 1 species
UAGGGAAUCUUCGGCAAUGGACGAAAGUCUGACCGAGCAACGCCGCGUGAGUGAAGAAGGUUUUCGGAUCGUAAAACUCUGUUGUUAGAGAAGAACAAGGGUGAGAGUAACUGUUCACCCCUUGACGGUAUCUAACCAGAAAGCCACGGCUAACUACGUGCCA